GACGAACGCUGGCGGCGUGCUUAACACAUGCAAGUCGAACGAUGAAGCUGGAGCUUGCUCCGGUGGAUUAGUGGCGAACGGGUGAGUAACACGUGAGCAAUCUGCCCUUCACUCUGGGAUAACUGCGGGAAACUGUAGCUAAUACCGGAUAUGAGGCUUGGAGGCAUCUCCAGGUCUGGCAAGAAUUUCGGUGAAGGAUGAGCUCGCGGCCUAUCAGCUUGUUGGUGAGGUAAUGGCUCACCAAGGCGACGACGGGUAGCCGGCCUGAGAGGGUGACCGGCCACACUGGGACUGAGACACGGCCCAGACUCCUACGGGAGGCAGCAGUGGGGAAUAUUGCACAAUGGGCGAAAGCCUGAUGCAGCAACGCCGCGUGAGGGAAGAAGGCCUUCGGGUUGUAAACCUCUUUUAGCAGGGAAGAAGCGAAAGUGACGGUACCUGCAGAAAAAGCACCGGCUAACUACGUGCCAGCCGCCGCAGUAA
rnacentral:rRNA from 1 species